rnacentral:rRNA from 1 species
GUGAGGAAUUUUCCGCAAUGGGCGAAAGCCUGACGGAGCAAUGCCGCGUGAAGGAUGAAGGCCUAUGGGUUGUAAACUUCUUGUCUCAGAAAAGAAUUAUGACGGUAUCUGAGGAAUAAGCAUCGGCUAACUCUGUGCCAGCAGCCGCGGUAAGACAGAGGAUGCAAGCGUUAUACGGAAUGAUUGGGCGUAAAGCGUCUGUAGGUUGUUUAAAAAGUAUUCUGUCAACGAUUAGGGCUUAACCCUAGAUAGGCAGAAUAAACUUUUAAGCUAGAGUUUGGUAGAAGCAGAGGGAAUUCCCGGUGGAGCGGUGAAAUGCGUAGAUAUCGGGAGGAACACCAAAGGCGAAGGCACUCUGCUGGGCCAAUACUAACACUGAGAGACGAAAGCGAGGGGAGCAAAUGGGAUUAGAAACCCUGGUAGUCC